rfam:Camelus ferus unplaced genomic scaffold scaffold30348, whole genome shotgun sequence.
GAGGGUAUAGCUCAGUGGUAGAGCGCAUGCUUAGCAUGCACGAGGUCCUGGGUUCAAUCCCCAGUACCUCCA